rnacentral:lncRNA from 1 species
GUCCCAUGGCAUGCCAAUUUCACACAAUUUAAAAUAGUCCCCUGGUGUGUUAAAAGCAUGUCUGUGACGUCCUUCGGUCAAAAUUCGAUUUGGAUCAAUUAUUUUAGUGCUCUUUUUUUCAGCUAAAAACAGCUCCGCUCAGAAUCCUCCGUUUUGGGCGAUGUCUCUUUGAUGAUAUGAGCUGCACCUAAGCCACGUCCACUUUACACCCAUCUCUCUGGAAGGGGCUGUGGCUGUGCUCCGAUAGCCAUGUGCUAAUGUUUACACUGGCUCGGUCAUAGCUGCAAGAAGAUCGCUCGUACAACCCUACCAGUUUGAGCCAGAGUCUGACCCAGAGAAAAAACUCUCAGCCGCGUUCAGACGAAACGCGACUUCAAGCGACCAAGUCGACAUAUCCUGUGUAUUAUUCAAAGCUGCCAGGUGGGUCACGCGUAGCCGGGACGUCCCGUAUUUGAGCCAAAAGAGGCGCGUCGCCGCACGGGUAAAUGCUAAAGCUACAUGCUGCUCUGGAGGGGCCACCGAAGCGAGCGGCUAAAAUACGGAAGGAUCCGGUAAACCGGCGCGGAUUCGGUGUGUUUAUCGAAGCGUGGUGGCCGUGCAGAGGCACCGGGGGAAUUUACGCUAAACAGUAAGUCAAAAUAAAACGUUCUGUACUUACAGGUGCCACGUUUGUAGCAGGAUCACGGAUAGUUGGUACGGAUCCAUUCUUUAUCUUCAGACAUCUAGCAAAUCCAGCGUUGAACUGUCCCUCGUUGAUAAAACAGUCCGAAGUGAAAUGGUACACACAUACGUACAGAUAUUUUGGAAGUGCCGCGGGUACAUUCCCAUUAUAAAUAAAAUCCACCCAUUGAGUCCUCAAAUCCUCCGACGAGGGAGUUUUGUGCUCGUUUGUGCAGCCAACAACAGAGCAAACGCUGCCUCUUUUUCAGAUCGUACUUUCGCCAUGGUUCUAACCGGAGUAAUGCGAGAGAGCGGCCGGGGAAAAUGGCGCUGUUUAGAUAAUCUUUUGGGCAGGGCAGUGGGCGGCUCCAUGGGCAGUACCAUCAACCCGCCAGCACUGUAAUGACGUCAUGUCAGUGGAGUUUUCAGAACGGCCAGGUGUUGUGCCGUAGAAUGCACCCCUGCCGUAGAAUGCACCCCCUGCAUCCCAUCCACUCGUUAGCUUCUUAAAGUGGAAGAAAAUGAUCUCAUAUUUUUAAAAAAAGGAGUAUUUGAUCGUGACAACUUUCGUUUUGUUUUUAUGUGUCUCUAAAAUGCACAUACGGAGGUGUGCUUGGGUAUAUAAAUUGUAUAGUAAACUGUCAAGCUAGCGAACAUUAUAUUUUCGGGACAGCAAAUAUUCCGAAACAGAGGGCUAUUUUUUUGGCUUAUCUGAAUAGCCUGAAUGAGAAUAUUAAAGGCAUACGCUUAUGAAUUCAUCUAAUGGUAAGGAAAACUUGGAUUAUUUUCGCCUUCUUAAGUACUUUCGACCGCGCUCGUCGGGGGUGCAUUCUACGGCAGGGGUGCAUUCUACGGCACAACACCGGCUCUGAGCACACAGUUCCUAAAUACAGAGAUAACUAAAAAACGACUGGAUGGAAUUUUUUCGAACUUGGGGGGGAUUGUAGCAGUUUUCUAUCCCUGAUAUGCACCCCCAUGGCCCCUUUAAGUUUUCCUCUUCUGUAGUUUAUGUUGUUACUAGUUAAAGGCUCACUUGAUGUGAGCUGUGUGAGCUUGAAAUGUCAAAUAUCCUGUUUAUUAUAUUAAAUAUGGAUGGCUUUACAAAAAAUGGGCUAUUCAAGCCUCAGCUACUAAAUCAUGAUUGGCUUGACAGGCAGUUGAUCAUAAAUUGUUGUCAAAACUCAUGUUUUGAACAAAGAUGAGCUGAAAGAAAAGAGCACAAGCAUUUAGCAGGAAGCAAUAUGUCAUUGUCCUUUAGGAGAUGCAGAAGCAGACUAUCACAGAGUGCACAUAUGACCAUAAGAAAUAAAUAAAUAGAUCUGAUUGUUCAAAGAGAUGGUCUUUCAAUAAACCCAGAAAAGACCCUCAUACCCCAUACAGGGUAUGUAUUUCAUAGAUCUUGUCCACUUCUCUUCAAGGUUUGUGAAAGGAAUCCUCAGCUUCUACUACAAGACUGAUGUAGAUGUCCAGAGAGACUCUGAACUGCAGAAGUGGAUUUCAGACAUUUUUGUGAAGGGAUUCCUCUCCAGUGCCAACAGUGGUGGGUUUGAAAGAAAAACUCUCUUCAUCUUUACAAAUAUGAGCAUCACUUAAACAAAAUGAUGCAGUUUAUUCUCUGUAACUCUCAGGAAUUCCAGAGAGAUUUACCACAGUGGCCCAGCUGGUCAAGUUUGUCACCAUGGUGAUCUUCACUUGCUCAGCACAGCAUGCAGCUGUAAACUCUGGACAGGUGAGGUAUCUUAAUGUAGGUUUUCACUGCAUUUUUGGCUUUAAAUCCUUUAAGUAGAUGGAUAGGAUUGGGAAUAACAGUUAGGUAGAUCGGCCCGUAUUUAGGUAUCAAGACUUGGCCAUCUGUUUUGAGGACUAUUACCUCUGUUACUGGAAUGCAGACAAUAAAAGAUGAAAUUGAACCUUUUCUUUUGACAUUUUGAAAUAUUUCAGUGGACAAAGUAAUGAAAAGGCUGUAUAUAAGCCUGACAUGGGGUUUCUCAUGUGACUAUAACAUCCCAAAUAUCUGUUGCGGUGUAUAAUGCAGUGCCUUACUCCUUCAUCACAGUUUGAUUUUGGUGCCUGGAUGCCCAACUCUCCCGCGUCCCUACAACUUCCUCCACCGACUAUUAAGGGAAAAGCAACUGAGGCCACCAUGCUGGAAACGCUCCCUGACGUCGAUGGGACAGCUAAUGGAAUAACUAUCCAGCAUCUUCUCAGCAAGCAGUCCACUGACUUUGUAAGAUCCACAAAUACUUCAUUUGAAAGUAAAUGAAUGAAAUGUAUGCAUAAGAUGUGUUAAGUUAGACAACAUGAAGGUAAAGUUAUAUUAUACGGUCCUGACAGCUUUACACACUGCUGUUCAAAAAAGAGGAAUAUAAGUGGAGGAGCCAGAGACAAUAAAAAAAAAACAUCACAACAACAAAUACACAGAAUUAACCAUAUGUUCAACAUGAUUUCUGCAUUCCUCAUGAUUUUUAGGCCAACAAUAAACAUUCAUGCUGAUUUCUCACCAUUCAUUGUUUUGCCAGCAGUCUAUGACUGUAAAGAUUUAAUGCUAAUGGAAUCAAAAACUAACCUUUAAAUGUUUCAUUGGUGUCACCAGGUCCCUCUUGGCCAGUAUCCAGACCAGCUGUUCUUUGAGGAGAUUCCCUGCAAACUGAUCAGGACUUUUCAAGGAGAGCUUGAAGUCCUGAGUGUACGCAUCAAAGUCAGAAACAGGGAACUGGAUCUCCCAUACAACUUCAUGAACCCAACUAUGGUGGAGAACAGUGUGGCUGUUUAAAUACAUGUGUGACCUGCUCAGCUCAUGGCCAAAAUUAUCUUAAUUUUGAGGGAAAACUGUGAUGAUAUGAAACUUUUCAGCAGGAAUAUUUUUGUUGCUUCUUCUCAAUUAUAUCCAGCUUUAAUCAUUCGGGUUUAUCAGAUGAGUACUGCUGCCAGGUUAAGUUUUCUGUACACGACAGGAAAAAAAAUCAUUAGACAGGCAUCAUGUAGUGUAUCUCCUUCUUUAGCUUCUGUGUGUCUUAUUUUCUUUUACAAAUAGAUGUAUUCAGUUGCACUUCAGUUGAAUUUCAAGUUAUAUGCCUUUUUUGACAGAGUAAUGCCGCACAGGGUUCAAAGGGCUGCUUCCAUUUUGCUUAUUUUUCUAUAUUCGACAGAAUGAAUUUUUGCAGUCUGAGACAAUACUGCACUUUUGAUUCUUUGGUGUGUCUUCCAAUCUAGUUCCUAAUAAAAUACCUAUCAUUUAA